CAACAAUGAACUAGUCAGUUAAUAAAAAAUCUUCUGUAAACUGACAGACCAAUGAUGCGAUUAUACCUGAUAACAAUAAUUUUAGGGAAACUUUCCAGGAACUAUUAUAGCGGACCAAGACAUUGCUAUAAUCAGAUGUUGAGAGGUAUUAUUGUAAAUUACCAUUUGAAUUUGCGUUUUAUUUAGGUAAAUUAUCUUUUUCUGCAACUAUGGAAUAUAACUGACACCUGAUGACAAAAGCACAUUUUAUGGUUUUGCAUUGUCACUUCUAUUACUCAGAAAAAAUGUAUGUCAUCUUAUUCUCUGAUUUCCGUUUUCAUGAAUUAUAAUUUCAAUGAGUAAUUUCUCAUGUAUCCUAUCUUUUGACUAACUAACGAGCGGCAAAAUAAUCUUGUGGUCAAAAGUGUAACAUAUCAAGAUGGAAGCUUGGAUUUUUUUUAGAUUGCUUAUCUGUAUUACGCGUUAUUUUCACUGACUGCAAGGCAAGUACAUUUUUACAAUUUGUUUCUUUGAGAACAUGUUUCGUUUUGUGAUAGAAAUGCAUGUAAUGAUAGAAGUCCGUCGCGUGAGUGAAUGAAUGAAUGUGAUAAGAUAGGUUUUAUCCUCAGCUUAGCGGUGUGGGGCUUCUGUGCACGAUGUUUCCAUGAAUUCCAUUCUUGCCUUUUAAUUGAAACAUUGACAUUUAAGACAGCUGAAAAGAUCUAAAUAUCUGCGUUAUUCGCAGAAUAAUUAAAACAGUCUUAUAAUUUCGUCAAUUAUAAUGCAGGACAUAGAAUACAGGAUUCUGAUAUCGGAUAUUCGGAACGCCAUUUUGCUUCCUGGGAAAAAUGAUCCCAUUAUUUAUGAAACAUUUAUUGUCGUCUUCCUAAUGAAAACUACUAAACUACUGUUGCUGUUCAAUGAGGAGCAUCUUAACCAGUAAAAUAUAUUGAUUUUACGCUUGGUUGUCCCUGUCAUUAACUCUUGUGGACUUAUUGCAAGAAUUAAAUUAAAAUAUUGUUAAUAGUCAUAUGUUUUAGUAAGGACCCUGCAAUAAAUUAAAGGUAUAUCGUAUUAGACCAAGGAUCUAUUACAGGGCCAUUAUGAAAACACUUGAACAUUUAAAAACACCUAUCCAUUGACAAAUUAGUUACAUUACUACUUGAAAAUGUUUUAAUAUAUACAUGGCGACGAAAUAUUACACUUGUUUGAAAACAUGUACACAGCGGCGUUUUUACUGAAAUUUAAGGCGGUGCCGAAGAAAUCUUUGUGGUUUUUAUAACGCCCGGUAAUUACAGACAUAUCAAAUAAUAUGAUUUAUGAAUAGAUUUAUAGUCAUUAUCCCUUUUAAGGGAGUUACAAAAUACGCCCCUCGAGAGCUUGUUAGAAGAAAAGUUUUUGUUACAGAACUGCAAAUAUGACUCUAAUAUCAUGACAGUAGCUUCAAAAAUUCGAAAACAAGGGCUAUCGUUAAAAACGAAGGAUGCUGCCCGAAUUGCAUAUUUCUCAGUGGAUAUGUAGCUAAGAAUUCUUAGUAGGUCUCUAGUCCAGAUACCCACAUAACAAGUCUUAAGAUCGUAGGUUUGUCAUUCUUGUUAUCUAACAUUUGACCUCUUAGUUUGACCUUGACUUUAGACCUACGGACCUAAUUCCUGCGCAUGCCACUCCAACUUAUGAUGGUAAACAUUUGCACCAAGUUACAUCAAAAUCUCUGAAUGCAUAAAGAAGAAAUGCUCCAGACCAAAGUUGUGGACGAUGCCCGAUCGCCCGCCCGCAAGGGCGUUCCCAUAGUUUGUCCCGUCUUUCAGAUGGGCGUAAAAAAAUGAUCAGACUAACCUUUAUUUUAAAUCUUUAGACAUCGCUGCUAAGGUAAAGUUGCAAUUUGGCAAGGGACACAGAGCCUAAUUCAGUUAACAGGUCAAAGCUUUUUUAUCCAGUAAAUGAAUAUCCGACAGUCCUUCUUUUAUUCUAAUAUUCAAAUAAAUUAGCAAGAUUAUUAUUUUUCGAUUAAUGGCAAUGUACACCCGUCUCCCGUUACUUUAACGUUUUUUGAUAGUCUCAAGUUAGGUUAUAGCACUCUAAAUGAUUUGGAUUAUAGCGCACUUACUAAUUUAUUGUCUGUAUUCGUAAUCAAAUAAUAUCAGUAAAAUUAUUAAAAUGAUGGACAAAACUUGAAAAUAAAAAUAUCAAGAUGGCGGUUGUUUUCUGCCAAAGAAUUUAAACAAUCAAGAUGAAAGAAAUCUGAUAUUGGUCGAAAUAAUCCUACAUUGCUCCAGAUGAAAUAAAGUAUUGCGACUUUAUCUUCUUAUAACAUCGGUAAUUAGCUUAGUAUUGUCGCAACUAUUAUUUAGUUAAAUAAUAAUAGAUAGUAUUGCAUUUAGUUUUUCACUUGUCUUUAUGCAGCACCAGGGUCAUCCAGUUACUUUGGCUGUUUUAAAGACGACGUAUUCCGAAAAUUCAGUUGGUAUCCGAAGCUAGUUUUCAAUAAUGGCGCCUUGUGUAUUCGCUAUUGCAAAGCUUCAGGGCACAUAUACGCUGCCACACAGUCAGUAUACUGUAAAUGUGGUAUGAACUAUCGUGGGAAUCCUAAACCAGGCAAUUGUGGAUAUAAAUGUCCAGGAUUACAGAAUGAAAUCUGCGGAGGCCCAAACAGUUUGUCAGUGUAUGACACAAGGUUAAUUGAUACUAAAUCAACUCCAUCAACACAAACUGGUGCUGUGAUAACAGCAACAGAAAGUAUCAACAGCUUCAAUGAACAAACUGCUUAUAAAGAACGUAAGGCGUGUUAACUUUCGUGUAUGAAAUAUUAUGUUUCACCUUUAACAUGCUAAAGUUAUUGAAGAUACAAUGUUGUUCGAAAUCUAAUUGUACGUAUUUCAAAUUUUCCCCCUACAGGUCCACACAAUUUAGACCAAAAAUGCACCAUAGGCCAUCAUUUCGUAUCUGUAUUUCAAAAUGUCGCAGGAAUAGAGCAUCCUGAUCCCCACCCGCUUAAAUGAAGGGAUUACCCCCUUUAGUACCUCAAAAGUAAAAAGGAAAACAGAGGUCACCAUUUUAUACCUGUAUUUCAAAAAUGUCUUGAGAGAGACCCCCUGAUUCAAAGUUUUAUGCUUACAAGGAUUAUACACUUUAUACAUUUUAAAAGAAAAACAGGCAAUGGCCAAGCCGCUUACAUCUUGGUGCCGGUUUUCGGAAUUUUUAUAGCAUUUGGAACAGCAGCAUUCAUUGGUAAGUUAUUUUUUUUGGAAUUGGAAUUAUAUCAUUUACAACUGUGACAUUACAUGGCUAAAAAGACAGGAAGGUGUAAAAAGGUUAUUGUUACAAACCGCACGUAAAUGCUCGUGAAAAGGUUUACAAACAACAAAAACCUACAGAACCACUACGCAUGUACCUAAUGCCGUUGCGUAAAAAGGCCAUUAAAUGUGCGGUGAAAUAGAUAAA